rnacentral:misc_RNA from 1 species
AAGUCGUAACAAGGUUUCCGUAGGUGAACCUGCGGAAGGAUCAUUAUUACGAAAUCAAAAAUCGUAACCCCAAACAACAAAUUGUGCAUUUCUGUACUGUUCCGGUAGUUUCAUUUGACCUUUGUAAAGGCUUACUUUGAUGUGCUUGCUUCAAAAACAUGCAUAUUCAAAGCACUUCUGAGCAGAUGAAGUGAACGGGUCUUUUUCGUCGAAUGAUUUCAAACUACCGGUUAGUAUUUAUCUGCUCACACACAUAACAAACCAUUAACCCCAUGUAACUAUUUUGAACUAAAUACAUCUGACGCAUGCAUCUCAUGUAUGUGUCUGAAUCAAAACCGAACUUAAGAACAACUCUUAACAACGGAUAUCUUGGUUCUC